rnacentral:rRNA from 1 species
GGUACCGUCAUCUGAUAGGUUUUCUCCUCCUACCAUUAUUCCUCCCGUAUAAAAGAACUUUACAACCUUUCGGCCUUCAUCAUUCACGCGGCGUCGCUCCGUCAGGAUUGCUCCCAUUGCGGAAUAUUCUUAG